rnacentral:ncRNA from 2 species
CAUCGCUUCAGGGCGGGGUGCAAUUCCCCACCGGUGGUAAGUUCAGCAUAAAAUCAUUAUGACUGAAUCAGCCCACGAGCCUAUCGCUUAACCGCGAUUCGCAGAUUUGGUGAAAUACCAAAGCCGACGGUAUAGUCCGGAUGAAAGAAGACGACG